CUGACGGUGGGCCGUGAAAAUCCGAGGGCCUCGUGGGCCUCCAAACUCAUGGGCAAAGAUUUUAGGACAUCUUAUGGGCUUUUUAGAUAAAGGGUAGGAUUGGACUGAGUCGUGCUUCAAAAGGAUCGGCACAGUCCGGAUUUUGGACUUGGGCCAUGGUAGUCCAUGGCUAGGAAUUAAGGGCCUGGCCCGUGGAUAAUAGGAAAGGGCUGCUCCUCCUCGUCGUGAUACGGUUGGGCGACAGGGCGAGGGCGAGGGCGCCGCCGCCGCCGCCGCCGCCGCCCACGCUCCGCGCCUCCACCUUGUCGACGGCCUUGCUGUCAUCCGGCGCACCGGCGGUGUCGACCCCAUCCAACAUCCGGCGGUGUCGUCCCCAAGCAGGCCGGCACGGCGUCUCCCUCCUGGACCGCUGGACUCCACGGCUCCGGACCUCGCCGCCUGGUGUUCUUGGGUGCCACGACCGGCUGCAGGCUGCGGUUGUUUUGCUUGACGACCUGAGGGAGCUCACUGGCUA